GUUGGUGUGGCUCAGUGGUAGAGUGCAUGCUUAGCAUGCAUGAGGUCCUGGGUUUAAUCCCCAGUGCCUCUA
rnacentral:tRNA from 1 species